rnacentral:rRNA from 1 species
AUGAACGCUAGCGACAGGCUUAACACAUGCAAGUCGAGGGGCAGCACAGGUAGCAAUACCGGGUGGCGACCGGCGCACGGGUGAGUAACGCGUAUGCAACUUACCUAUCAGAGGGGGAUAACCCGGCGAAAGUCGGACUAAUACCGCAUGAAGCAGGGGCCCCGCAUGGGGAUAUUUGCUAAAGAUUCAUCGCUGAUAGAUAGGCAUGCGUUCCAUUAGGCAGUUGGCGGGGUAACGGCCCACCAAACCGACGAUGGAUAGGGGUUCUGAGAGGAAGGUCCCCCACAUUGGUACUGAGACACGGACCAAACUCCUACGGGAGGCAGCAGUGAGGAAUAUUGGUCAAUGGCCGAGAGGCUGAACCAGCCAAGUCGCGUGAGGGAUGAAGGUUCUAUGGAUCGUAAACCUCUUUUAUAAGGGAAUAAAGUGCGGGACGUGUCCCGUUUUGUAUGUACCUUAUGAAUAAGGAUCGGCUAACUCCGUGCCAGCAGCCGCGGUAAUACGGAGGAUCCGAGCGUUAUCCGGAUUUAUUGGGUUUAAAGGGUGCGUAGGCGGCCUUUUAAGUCAGCGGUGAAAGUCUGUGGCUCAACCAUAGAAUUGCCGUUGAAACUGGGGGGCUUGAGUAUGUUUGAGGCAGGCGGAAUGCGUGGUGUAGCGGUGAAAUGCAUAGAUAUCACGCAGAACCCCGAUUGCGAAGGCAGCCUGCCAAGCCAUGACUGACGCUGAUGCACGAAAGCGUGGGGAUCAAACAGGAUUAGAUACCCUGGUAGUCCACGCAGUAAACGAUGAUCACUAGCUGCUUGCGAUACACAGUAAGCGGCACAGCGAAAGCGUUAAGUGAUCCACCUGGGGAGUACGCCGGCAACGGUGAAACUCAAAGGAAUUGACGGGGGCCCGCACAAGCGGAGGAACAUGUGGUUUAAUUCGAUGAUACGCGAGGAACCUUACCCGGGUUUGAACGCAUUCGGACCGAGGUGGAAACACCUUUUCUAGCAAUAGCCGUUUGCGAGGUGCUGCAUGGUUGUCGUCAGCUCGUGCCGUGAGGUGUCGGCUUAAGUGCCAUAACGAGCGCAACCCUUGCCACUAGUUACUAACAGGUGAUGCUGAGGACUCUGGUGGGACUGCCAGCGUAAGCUGCGAGGAAGGCGGGGAUGACGUCAAAUCAGCACGGCCCUUACAUCCGGGGCGACACACGUGUUACAAUGGCGUGGACAAAGGGAGGCCACCUGGCGACAGGGAGCGAAUCCCCAAACCACGUCUCAGUUCGGAUCGGAGUCUGCAACCCGACUCCGUGAAGCUGGAUUCGCUAGUAAUCGCGCAUCAGCCAUGGCGCGGUGAAUACGUUCCCGGGCCUUGUACACACCGCCCGUCAAGCCAUGGGAGCCGGGGGUACCUGAAGUCCGUAACCGCGAGGAUCGGCCUAGGGUAAAACUGGUGACUGGGGCU